rnacentral:lncRNA from 1 species
CCUCCAUUGGUAUUUCUGUCACAUCGAAUAAAAUUAUAUCCCCGAAUCAACAAAUUUUCAGACAAUAGGUCAGGAGAUAAACGAGUUUCCUGAAGACCUACAAUAUCAAAACGCCUAUUCAAUAACAUAGAUUUAAAUUCAACAAAAUGCAAAGUUAAUGAU